rnacentral:sRNA from 1 species
UUUUUUAUAUAUUAAACUUUUUAUAAGUUUAAAUAUUAAUAAUGUUUUAUAAAGUUUAAAUAUAUAUAUAAUAAUAUUUAAAAAAUAUAUUUUUUGCCUUUUAGGUAAUGACAUAAUAACUCUAAAAGCAAAGAUUUAGAAGAUUUAAAUCGUUAAUUAAAUAUUUUCAUUUCUAAAUAAUUAAUGCCAGUAGCAUGACAUUGUAAAUAAGUUCAAAUAUAGAAUUUAUUUAUUUAAACAAAAAACGUUUAGUAAGAAUAAUAUUUAUUUAAACAAAAAAACUUU